rnacentral:rRNA from 1 species
GACGAACGCUGGCGGCGUGCCUAAUACAUGCAAGUAGAACGCUCAGGGGGGAACUUGCCCUUCUGGAUGAGUUGCGAACGGGUGAGUAAAGCGUAGGUAAACUGCCUGGUAGCGGGGGAUAACAAUUGGAAACGCUAGAUAAUACAGCAUAACAGUAGAUGUUGCAUGACAUUUACUUAAAAGGUGCGAUUGCACCACUACCAGAUGGUGCUGCGUUGUAUUAGCAGGUUGGUGGGGUAACGGCUCAACAAGGCGACGAUACAUAGCCGGCCCGAGAGGGGGAACGGCCCCACUGGGACUGGGACCACGCCCAGACCCCCAAGGGGGGGAGCAGUAAGGGAUCUUCGGCAAAUGACGGAAGUCUGAACGGAGAAAGCCGCGUGAGUGAAGAAGGGUUUCGGAUUGGAAAGCUCUGUUGUAAGAGAAGAACGAGUGUGGGAGGGGAAAGUUCACAUUGUGACGGUAUCUUACCAGAAAGCGACGGCUAACUACGUG